rnacentral:tRNA from 1 species
GCUUCGGUAGUGUAAUGGAUAAACACAACAGAUCGAAUAUCUGUAGGUGUAGGUUCGAGUCUCACCCAAGGUU